UACGUAGGGUGCGAGCGUUGUCCGGAAUCAUUGGGCGUAAAGAGCGUGUAGGCGGCCAGAUAAGUCCGCUGUGAAAUCUCGAGGCUCAACUUCGAGCUGUCGGUGGAAACUGUCUGGCUAGAGUCCGGAAGAGGAGAAUGGAAUUCCUGGUGUAGCGGUGAAAUGCGCAGAUAUCAGGAAGAACACCCGUGGCGAAGGCGGUUCUCUGGGACGGUACUGACGCUGAGACGCGAAAGCGUGGGGAGCGAACAGG
rnacentral:rRNA from 1 species